rnacentral:rRNA from 1 species
AACGCGAAGAACCUUACCAGGCCUUGACAUGCAGAGAACUUUCCAGAGAUGGAUUGGUGCCUUCGGGAACUCUGACACAGGUGCUGCAUGGCUGUCGUCAGCUCGUGUCGUGAGAUGUUGGGUUAAGUCCCGUAACGAGCGCAACCCUUGCCUUUAGUUGCCAGCAGUUCGGCUGGGCACUCUAAAGGGACUGCCGGUGUUAAACCGGAGGAAGGUGGGGAUGACGUCAAGUCCUCAUGGCCUUUAUGACCAGGGCUACACACGUACUACAAUGGCCGAUACAAAGGGCAGCGACACUGCGAGGUGAAGCCAAUCCCGUAAAAUCGGUCUCAGUCCGGAUUGGAGUCUGCAACUCGACUCCAUGAAGUUGGAAUCGCUAGUAAUCGUGGAUCAGCAUGCCACGGUGAAUACGUUCCCGGGCCUU